rnacentral:rRNA from 1 species
GCUUGCUUCUUGGGGUUGUAGGACACUCUAUACGGAGUUACAAAAGAAAGUUAUAAAUGAAGCGGUCUGGAAAGGCCCGCCAAAGACGGUAACAGCCCGGUAGUUGAAAUGGCUUUCCCUCCAGAGUGGAUCCUGAGUACGGCGGAACACGUGAAAUUCCGUCGGAAUCCGGGAGGACCAUCUCCCAAGGCUAAAUACUCCCUAGUGACCGAUAGUGAACCAGUACCGUGAGGGAAAGGUGAAAAGCACCCCGGAAGGGGAGUGAAACAGUUCCUGAAACCGUGUGCCUACAAGUAGUUAGAGCCCGUUAAUGGGUGAUAGCGUGCCUUUUGUAGAAUGAACCGGCGAGUUACGAUUUGUUGCAAGGUUAAGCGGAAAAAGCGGAGCCGUAGCGAAAGCGAGUCUGAAUAGGGCGCAUAAGUAACAGGUCGUAGACCCGAAACCAGGUGAUCUACCCAUGUCCAGGAUGAAGGUAAGGUAAUACUUACUGGAGGUCCGAACCCACGCACGUUGAAAAGUGCGGGGAUGAGGUGUGGGUAGCGGAGAAAUUCCAAUCGAACUUGGAGAUAGCUGGUUCUCUCCGAAAUAGCUUUAGGGCUAGCCUCGAGGUAAAGAGUCAUGGAGGUAGAGCACUGUUUGGACUAGGGGCCCUUCUCGGGUUACCGAAUUCAGAUAAACUCCGAAUGCCAUGUACUUAUACUCGGGAGUCAGACUGCGAGUGAUAAGAUCCGUAGUCGAAAGGGAAACAGCCCAGACCACCAGUUAAGGUCCCCAAAUAUAUGUUAAGUGGAAAAGGAUGUGGGGUUGCUUAGACAACCAGGAUGUUGGCUUAGAAGCAGCCACCAUUGAAAGAGUGCGUAAUAGCUCACUGGUCGAGUGACCCCGCGCCGAAAAUGUACCGGGGCUAAACAUAUUACCGAAACUGUGGAUGAACCUCUUUAGAGGUUCGUGGUAGGAGAGCGUUCUAAGGGCGGUGAAGUCAGACCGGAAGGACUGGUGGAGCGCUUAGAAGUGAGAAUGCCGGUAUGAGUAGCGAAAGAAGGGUGAGAAUCCCUUCCACCGAAUAUCUAAGGUUUCCUGAGGAAGGCUCGUCCGCUCAGGGUUAGUCGGGACCUAAGCCGAGGCCGAUAGGCGUAGGCGAUGGACAACAGGUAGAGAUUCCUGUACCAGUGCUAAUUGUUUAACCGAUGGGGUGACACAGAAGGAUAGGGAAUCGCACGAAUGGAAAUGUGCGUCCAAGCAGUGAGUGUGAGAAGUAGGCAAAUCCGCUUCUCGCGAAGCAUGAGCUGUGAUGGGGAAGGAAAUUAAGUACGGAAGUUCCUGAUUUCACGCUGUCAAGAAAAGCCUCUAGGAAGAGUAGUACUGCCCGUACCGCAAACCGACACAGGUAGAUGAGGAGAGAAUCCUAAGGUGAGCGAGAGAACUCUCGUUAAGGAACUCGGCAAAAUGACCCCGUAACUUCGGGAGAAGGGGUGCUCUAUUAGGGUGCAAGCCCGAGAGAGCCGCAGUGAAUAGGCCCAGGCGACUGUUUAGCAAAAACACAGGUCUCUGCAAAACCGUAAGGUGACGUAUAGGGGCUGACGCCUGCCCGGUGCUGGAAGGUUAAGAGGAGUGCUUAGCUUCGGCGAAGGUACGAAUUGAAGCCCCAGUAAACGGCGGCCGUAACUAUAACGGUCCUAAGGUAGCGAAAUUCCUUGUCGGGUAAGUUCCGACCCGCACGAAAGGCGCAACGAUCUGGGCACUGUCUCAACGAGAGACUCGGUGAAAUUAUAGUACCUGUGAAGAUGCAGGUUACCCGCGACAGGACGGAAAGACCCCGUGGAGCUUUACUGCAACCUGAUAUGGAAUGUUUGUACCGCUUGUACAGGAUAGGUAGGAGCCGAAGAGACGUGUGCGCUAGCAUACGAGGAGGCAAUGGUGGGAUACUACCCUGGCUGUAUGACCAUUCUAACCCGCCACGCUUAGCGCGUGGGGAGACAGUGUCAGGUGGGCAGUUUGACUGGGGCGGUCGCCUCCUAAAGAGUAACGGAGGCGCCCAAAGGUUCCCUCAGAAUGGAUGGAAAUCAUUCGCAGAGUGUAAAGGCACAAGGGAGCUUGA